CGGGUUUCGAGACGAUGAAACC
rnacentral:miRNA from 12 species